GACGAACGCUGGCGGCGUGCCUAACACAUGCAAGUCGAACGGAAAGGCCCUGCUUUUGUGGGGUGCUCGAGUGGCGAACGGGGGAGUAACACGUGAGUAACCUGCCCUUGACUUUGGGAUAACUUCAGGAAACUGGGGCUAAUACCGGAUAGGAGCUCCUGCUGCAUGGAGGGGGUUGGAAAGUCUCGGCGGUUGGGGAUGGACUCGCGGCUUACCAGCUUGUUGGUGGGGGAGUCGCUGACCGAGGCUUGGACGGGUAGCCCGCCUGAGAGGGUGACCGGCCACAUUGGGACUGAGAUACGGCGCAGACUCGUACGUGGGGCAGCAGUGGGGAAUAUUGCACAGUGGGCGGAAGCCUGUUGCAGCAACGCCGCGUUCGGGAUGACCUCCUUCGGGUUGUAAACCGCUUUCGCCUGUGACGAAGCGUGAGUGACGGUAAUGGGUGAAGAAGCACCGGCUAACUACGUG
rnacentral:rRNA from 1 species